UACAGAGGGGGCAAGCGUUGUUCGGAAUUACUGGGCGUAAAGGGCGCGUAGGCGGCCUUCUAAGUCGAACGUGAAAUCCCCGGGCUCAACCCGGGAACUGCGUCCGAUACUGGAAGGCUUGAAUCCGGGAGAGGGAUGCGGAAUUCCAGGUGUAGCGGUGAAAUGCGUAGAUAUCUGAAGGAACACCGGUGGCGAAGGCGGCUUCCUGGACCGACACUGACGCUGAGGCGCGAAAGCUAGGGGAGCAAACGGG
rnacentral:rRNA from 1 species